rnacentral:rRNA from 1 species
UGGGGAAUAUUGCACAAUGGGCGCAAGCCUGAUGCAGCCAUGCCGCGUGUAUGAAGAAGGCCUUCGGGUUGUAAAGUACUUUCAGCGGGGAGGAAGGUGUUGUGGUUAAUAACCACAGCAAUUGGCGUUACCCGCAGAAGAAGCACCGGCUAACUCCGUGCCAGCAGCCGCGGUAAUACGGAGGGUGCAAGCGUUAAUCGGAAUUACUGGGCGUAAAGCGCACGCAGGCGGUCUGUCAAGUCGGAUGUGAAAUCCCCUGGCUCAACCUGGGAACUGCAUCCGAAACUGGCAGGCUUGAGUCUUGUAGAGGGGGGUAGAAUUCCAGGUGUAGCGGUGAAAUGCGUAGAGAUCUGGAGGAAUACCGGUGGCGAAGGCGGCCCCCUGGACAAAGACUGACGCUCAGGUGCGAAAGCGUGGGGAGCAAACA